AAUUAUAUAAAAUUAUAUAAUAUUAUAAAAUUCUUGAUAUUUACUAAAUUAUAAUAAUCCAGAACACAGAAGGAUCGGAUUUAAAAUUCAAAAUGUAUAUGCAAUAUGCAACCGGUAUAUGAUUACAAUUUAAAGGACGUUUGUUAUUAAUUCAUGGACGCUGGAUGCAAAUCGUCGCUAACUGCGCGCCAAUAAAUAAUUUAUCAAAUAGAUAGAAUGCCUCACGUGCGUUGAACUCGUUAAAUACUCUCUCACAACGAGAUCGAAAAAAAAAAAAGAAAGAAAAACACUUUACUCGGAUAUACAACAUAUACAAAUAUAUGAAAAAUAAAUAUUUCCUCGAAAAGGACAGUUUAAUUUAAUCGAACGAUAUUAUCGAAGAUGAAAUAAUAAUAAAUCGUGUCAUUGACCAAAACGCAAGAACGAUGGAUUACGUCAAUUACGAGUAUAAUUAUAUCGCAUGAUUCAUGGAGUAUCCAAGUUGGACGGUUCCGGUGGCGCGGACCGACAAUGGUGGCUCUGGCAUACAAAACACUGUACCGAACGUAACGGUAGCUUUGAGAAACGCGGCAACAAUUCGAUAAUACACCCCUCGAAGAGAUGGAAAAAAACGAGAUGCUUGAUUCAUUUCGAUUAUUCUUGCAAGAGUCAAAAAAAAAUUCUUCGUUGGAUUCUCACUUUAUUCGAAAGGCAUUCGUAUCUCCAGCUAUCCUUGGCUGGAGAAUACUCGCAUACCGCCAGCCAACGUUCGUUUCCAAGUAUAUCGGAGCAAGCCUUCGGACGUCGAAUUUUUUUCGCCGGUGGAAAAGGCCGAUCGAAUUAACCUGAAAUAACGAAUGUGUAGCUCCUUUUGCUUACUUAUUGUCCGUAAUCAACGACAUUGAAGGAAAAAGUGAUCUCUCGAUGAUUCGAAGAUGAUUAUAAACCCACACGGAUUGAUGAAAUAAAUUGGAUUGUGCAAAAAACACGGACGAGGAGAAUGGGGGCAAGGUAACGAGAGAGAAGUUCCACGGGAGGGAGGACGACCAGUCGUGUCCUCCUCGAAUCGGUCGACCUAAGGAGAUCAACGAGCCGAAUAUUAAUCAUCGAGAGGCGCGGCACCUGCAUCCUUGGCGCGUCGAGGCACGUAACGCGAUAAACCGCCGUGCAGCCUUACCGUUAUCCGGAAGGCGUUUGUGCAUUAGCCAUCCGGUUACGUUCCUCCGCUUCCUCCUUCGUUUCGGGACUCCCGAACCGCCACGUUUCAGUCCCGUCACGUUGGGAACGGACACGUUCGUCGAACUUCGUCGACGAGUAUUAUUAUCUUCUCGAAAGGACGUUCGUAAUAUUCGUUUCGAAUAUAAAUCAAAACAAAAACGCGAAUUAAGAGAGUUUGCCACGAAUUUUAAUUUUUGUCUCGUUUUGAUUCGUGGAUGUUUUU